rnacentral:tRNA from 1 species
GGGGCUGUGGCUCAGUGGGAGAGCAGCCGCUUAGCAUGCAGAAUGUCCCAAGUUCAAUCCCUGGCAUCUCCA